GUGAGGAAUUUUCCGCAAUGGGCGAAAGCCUGACGGAGCAAUGCCGCGUGAAGGAUGAAGGCCUAUGGGUUGUAAACUUCUUUUCUCAGAAAAGAAUUAUGACGGUAUCUGAGGAAUAAGCAUCGGCUAACUCUGUGCCAGCAGCCGCGGUAAGACAGAGGAUGCAAGCGUUAUCCGGAAUGAUUGGGCGUAAAGCGUCUGUAGGUUGUUUAAAAAGUAUUCUGUCAAAGAUUAGGGCUUAACCCUAGAUAGGCAGAAUAAACUUUUAAGCUAGAGUGUGGUAGAGGCAGAGGGAAUUCCCGGUGGAGCGGUGAAAUGCGUAGAUAUCGGGGGGAACACCAAAGGCGAAGGCACUCUGCUGGGCCAAUACUAACACUGAGAGACGAAAGCGAGGGGAGCAAAUGGGAUUAGAUACCCUAGUAGUCC
rnacentral:rRNA from 1 species